rnacentral:rRNA from 1 species
CACGUAGGGUGCGAGCGUUGUCCGGAAUUAUUGGGCGUAAAGAGCUCGUAGGCGGUGUGUCGCGUCGGCCGUGAAAACCUGUGGCUUAACUAUGGGCUUGCGGUCGAUACGGGCAUCACUGGAGUUCGGCAGGGGAGACUGGAAUUCCUGGUGUAGCGGUGAAAUGCGUAGAUAUCGAUAGGAACUCCGGUGGCGAAGGCGGCAUACUGGACCACUUCUGACGCUGAGGCGCGAAAGCCAGGGGAGCGAACGGG